CCUACGGGAGGCAGCAGUGGGGAAUGUUGCGCAAUGGACGAAAGAGUGAUGCAGCGACGCCGCGUGAAUGACGAAGGCCUUCGGGUUGUAAAGCUCUUUCGACAGGGAAGAAAAUGCCUAUAAGUAACUGUGUAUGUAUUGACGGUACCGGUACAAGCAGCCCCGGCUAACGCCGUGCCAGCAGCUGCGGUAAUAUGGAGGGGGCGAGCGUGGGUCGGAUGGACUGGGCGUAAAGAGAGCGUAGGCGGUGUUGUAAGUCACUAGUGAAAGACUAGGGCUCAACCUUAGGAAGGCUAGUGAUACUGUAAUGCUAGAGUAUCGGAGAGGAUUGCAGAAUUCCUGGUGUAGCGGUGAAAUGCGUAGAUAUCAGGAGGAAUACCGUUGGCGAAGGCGGCUAACUGGCUGGAAACUGACGCUGAGGUGCGAAAGCGUGGGUAGCAAACAGGAUUAGAUACCCGAGUAGUC
rnacentral:rRNA from 1 species